CGGUCGAGAGGGCUGUGAUAUUUACCGUCCGCUGUGGACAGGUUCCACACUCGGCUG
rnacentral:ncRNA from 1 species